rnacentral:rRNA from 1 species
AUUGAACGCUGGCGGCAUGCCUUACACAUGCAAGUCGAACGGUAACGGGCCUUCGGGUGCCGACGAGUGGCGAACGGGUGAGUAAUGCAUCGGAACGUACCUUUCAGUGGGGGAUAACGUAGCGAAAGUUACGCUAAUACCGCAUAUUCUGUGAGCAGGAAAGCAGGGGAUCGCAAGACCUUGUGCUGAUUGAUCGGCAGAUGUCAGAUUAGCUAGUUGGUGAGGUAAAGGCUCACCAAGGCGACGAUCUGUAGCGGGUCUGAGAGGAUGAUCCGCCACACUGGAACUGAGACACGGUCCAGACUCCUACGGGAGGCAGCAGUGGGGAAUUUUGGACAAUGGGGGCAACCCUGAUCCAGCCAUGCCGCGUGAGUGAAGAAGGCCUUCGGGUUGUAAAGCUCUUUCGGUCGGGAAGAAAUCGCAUGGGUUAAUACCCUGUGCGGAUGACGGUACCGGCAUAAGAAGCACCGGCUAACUACGUGCCAGCCGCCGCUGUAACAC